AUUGAACGCUGGCGGCAGGCCUAACACAUGCAAGUCGAACGAGUGGCGGACGGGUGAGUAAUGUCUGGGAAACUGCCUGAUGGAGGGGGAUAACUACUGGAAACGGUAGCUAAUACCGCAUACCAUCAGAUGUGCCCAGAUGGGAUUAGCUUGUUGGGGGGGUAACGGCGCACAAAGGCGACGAUCCCUAGCUGGUCUGAGAGGAUGACCAGCCAACCUGGAACUGAGACACGGUCCAGACGCCGACGGGAGGCAGCAGUGGGGAAUAUUGCACAAUGGGCGCAAGCCUGAUGCAGCCAUGCCGCGUGUAUGAAGAAGGCCUUCGGGUUGUAAAGUACUUUCAGCGGGGAGGCGUUACCCGCAGAAGAAGCACCGGCUAACUCCGUGCCAGCAGCCGCGGUAAUAC
rnacentral:rRNA from 1 species